GCCUCGGUAGCUCAGGGGAUAGAGCAGCCGCCUCCUAAGCGGCAGGUCGCAGGUUCGAAUUGUGCGCCAAGGCG
rnacentral:tRNA from 1 species